GACGAACGCUGGCGGCGUGCUUAACACAUGCAAGUCGAACGGAAAGGCCCUGCUUUUGUGGGGUGCUCGAGUGGCGAACGGGUGAGUAACACGUGAGUAACCUGCCCUUGACUUUGGGAUAACUUCAGGAAACUGGGGCUAAUACCGGAUAGGAGCUCCUGCUGCGUGGUGGGGGUUGGAAAGUUUCGGCGGUUGGGGAUGGACUCGCGGCUUAUCAGCUUGUUGGUGGGGUAGUGGCUUACCAAGGCUUUGACGGGUAGCCGGCCUGAGAGGGUGACCGGCCACAAUGGGACUGAGAGACGGCCCAGACGGCUACGGGAGGCAGCAGUGGGGAAUAUUGCACAAUGGGCGGAAGCCUGAGGCAGCAACGCCGCGUGCGGGAUGACGGCCUUCGGGUUGUAAACCGAUUUCGCCUGUGACGAAGAGUGAGUGACGGUAAUGGGUAAAGAAGCACCGGCUAACUACGUG
rnacentral:rRNA from 1 species